rnacentral:rRNA from 1 species
GACGAACGCUGGCGGCGUGCCUAAUACAUGCAAGUAGAACGCUGAAGGAGGAGCUUGCUUCUCCGGAUGAGUUGCGAACGGGUGAGUAACGCGUAGGUAACCUGCCUGUUAGCGGGGGAUAACUAUUGGAAACGAUAGCUAAUACCGCAUAAGAGUAGAUGUCGCAUGACAUUUGCUUAAAAGGUGCAACUGCACCACUACCAGAUGGACCUGCGUUGUAUUAGCUAGUUGUUGAGGUAACGGCUCACCAAGGCAACGAUACAUAGCCGACCUGAGAGGGUGAUCGGCCAAACUGGGACUGGGAAACGGCCCCGACUCCUUCGGGAGGCCGCAGUAGGGAAUCUUCGGCAAUGGAGGGAAGUCUGACCGGGCAAAGCCGCGGGAGUGAAGAAGGUUUUCGGAUCGGAAAGCUCUGUUGUAAGAGGAGAACGAGUGUGGGAGUGGAAAGUUCACGCUGUGACGGUACCUAACCAGAAAGGGACGGCUAACUACGUG